rnacentral:rRNA from 1 species
UCCUACGGGAGGCAGCAGUGGGGGAAUAUUGCACAAUGGGCGCAAGCCUGAUGCAGCCAUGCCGCGUGUAUGAAGAAGGCCUUCGGGUUGUAAAGUACUUUCAGCAGUGAGGAAGGUGGGUAUGUUAAUAGCAUACUCAUUUGACGUUAGCUGCAGAAGAAGCACCGGCUAACUCCGUGCCAGCAGCCGCGGUAAUACGGAGGGUGCGAGCGUUAAUCGGAAUUACUGGGCGUAAAGCGCAUGCAGGUGGUUUGUUAAGUCAGAUGUGAAAGCCCGGGGCUCAACCUCGGAAUUGCAUUUGAAACUGGCAAACUAGAGUACUGUAGAGGGGGUAGAAUUUCAGGUGUAGCGGUGAAAUGCGUAGAGAUCUGAAGGAAUACCGGUGGCGAAGGCGGCCCCCUGGACAGAUACUGACACUCAGAUGCGAAAGCGUGGGGAGCAAACAGGAUUAGAUACCCUGGUAG